UAGGGAAUCUUCCACAAUGGACGAAAGUCUGAUGGAGCAACGCCGCGUGAGUGAAGAAGGGUUUCGGGCUCGUAAAACUCUGUUGUUAAAGAAGAACAUAUCUGAGAGUAACUGUUCAGGUAUUGACGGUAUUUAACCAGAAAGCCACGGCUAACUACGUGUCAG
rnacentral:rRNA from 1 species